CGAACAGGGAAGAGYCCARCMCCGAAUCUCCCGGUCGACCGGCCGGCGAGAAAUGUGGUGUUAGGGAGCGGCCGUUCCCGGUGCGCGCUGGCUCGUUCCAAGUCCUCUUGAAAGGGGCCAYGGCCCGUAGAGGGUGCCAGGCCCGUAGUGGAGACGUGCGCGCUCGGGGGGCUCGUCUCCUCAGAGUCGGGUUGCUUGAGAUCGCAGCCCUAAGCAGGUGGUAAACUCCAUCUAAGGCUAAAUACAACCACGAGACCGAUAGCGAACAAGUACCGUGAGGGAAAGUUGAAAAGAACUUUGAAGAGAGAGUUCAAGAGUACGUGAAACCGCCCAAGGGGAAACGGAAGGUAAUUGAGUAAACUAGGCCGGGGAAACUCAUCACCGCUCGCUUGCACGCUCGAGCUACCCGACCGCUGCGCGGCCGCAGACUAGCUUUGCUAUCUCGUCGGUCUCCCGCAGAGCCCGGUCGGGCGUAUCCUGCUCUGAGCGGGGGAAACGGAACCCCCGCGAGUCUGCUCGAGGGCGGUGUGCACUUUUCCUUCGCCAUAGUGCGUCGCGAUCCGUCGGUCGGCGGCCAGAGGCCCGGGGUUAUUAUCGGCGCGGCGGGACGUGUUAAGCGUUUCUUCGUGCCGAGUCCCCGGCGUGCGCACGGCGGGCCGCUUCACAGCGCCCGCUGCCCGCUUUCCCGGCCGCCGUGUAAGGCCGCCCCGUAGCGGGGCGGCAGUUACGACGGUCAUGAAAUACGUGGAAGACGUCUCGACCGUCACCUACCCCGUCGCAAGGCGGGCGAGGGGGCGGCGGGCCUCUCCGGACCUUGGCUUCGGCCCUUCACAAGCGCGGAACGCGGUGGUUAGCUAGCGCGCGGCGGGCGGCCCGAAGGGGCUUCGUCCUCGCGCGUAUCCCAUCGAUACGUUCGCGCGGUGACAGGAGAGGGGGGCUUGAGUGAAUAACUCGUCUCGGAUCAACCGGCGGCGUAAGUCUCAGUCUACUUUCCGACCCGUCUUGAAACACGGACCAAGGAGUCUAACAUGUGCGCAAGUCAAUGGGAGUUUUCUAAACCCAAAGGCGGAAUGAAAGUGAAGCCGGGGGGCGUGGUUGACCACUGCGCCCGCUCGGCGAGGGAGGAUGGCGCGGGGCGCGCGCUCUUGCAGAGGGGCGCGCGUCACUACUCCGGCCCGCACUCCCGGGGCGUCGUUCGCGGCGCACCUAGAGCGCACACGUUGGUACCCGAAAGAUGGUGAACUAUGCCUGGCCAGGACGAAGCCAGGGGAAACCCUGGUGGAGGUCCGUAGCGAUUCUGACGUGCAAAUCGAUCGUCUGAGCUGGGUAUAGGGGCGAAAGACUAAUCGAACCAUCUAGUAGCUGGUUCCCUCCGAAGUUUCCCUCAGGAUAGCUGGCACUCGGAGACAUGAAAUACUUGAAAAAAGCGAAUCUCAUUCGGUAAAGCGAAUGAUUAGAGGCCUUAGGGUCGAAACGGCCUUAACCUAUUCUCAAACUUUAAAUGGGUGAGAACGCCGGCAUCCUCAAAUGAUACCUCAGGUGAUGCCGGCGAAAGGAUCGUGAGUGUCCAGUGGGCCAUUUUUGGUAAGCAGAACUGGCGCUGUGGGAUGAACCAAACGUAGAGUUAAGGCGCCUAAACCGACGCUCAUGGGAUACCAUGAAGGGCGUUGUUUGCUUAAGACAGCUGGGCGGUGGCCAUGGAAGUCGGAAUCCGCUAAGGAGUGUGUAACAACUCACCAGCCGAAGCAACUAGCCCUGAAAAUGGAUGGCGCUAAAGCGUCGUGCCUAUACUUUACCGCCGGCGGCAAGGCUAGGGUGCCCGCACGUCCCGCGUCGGGGGCGCCGCGCGAAGCCUAACCAGCGCGCGCGGCGCAGGAGCCCUGUUAAGCCCCGGUGAGUAGGAGGGUCGCGGCGGUGAGCGCAGAAGGGUUGGGCGCGAGCCUGCCUGGAGCCGCCGUCGGCGCAGAUCUUGGUAGUAGUAGCAAAUACUCUAGCGAGACCCUGGAGGGCUGAUGUGGAGAAGGGUUUCGUGUGAACAGCCGUUGCACACGAGUCAGUCGAUCCUAAGCCCUAGGGGAAACCCGAUGCAGAUGCCGGCCUUUGUUCWGAGAUUCUUCGGGCCGCGCGUCGGGCGAAAGGGAAUCCGGUCCCCAUUCCGGAACCCGGUCGCGGAACCGUUUCACGUCGGGCCCGCGCCGAAAGGCGCAAGCUCGUCGGGGUAACCCAACAUGACCCGGAGAAGCCGUCGGGAGGUCUGGGAAGAGUUUUCUUUUCUGUUUGAGCGUUCGGGUUCCCUGGAAUUGCCUAGCGCAGAGAGAGGGAAUGGAGCGCGUAGAGC
rnacentral:rRNA from 1 species